ensembl:lncRNA
UAAAGAUGUCCGUCUCGGGGUCAACGGUCAUCCCUGAGCUGCACAAUCACAGAUUGUCCUCCAGGUCCGACUGAUGGCGCUCCACCUGGAAGCAAACAGGAAGUGGCUCUUAACGAGACACCGGUCCAACAGACCAUCGAUCUGGACCUUAAUCUCCAUCAGCUCCUUCUUUAUGCAGAGGACCUCCGCCAUCUUUACUGAAGUCAGAGAGAGAGAGAGAGAGAGAGAGAAAGAGCGAGACAGGGACAGAAACAGGGAGAGUGACAGAAAGAGAGAGAGAGAAAGCCCCGCCCACCUGUACACCUGUAACUCUACACAGGGAGCUUUGACACCCGGGAAUCAAACCCUCUGCCAUCCCGCUCAGGACGUUUCCUUUAGAGUUCGGGUCGGUUUGGUUUUUAACCUGUCGGUUUUUCCUAACGGCUGUAUUUUGUGCAUGAUGAUGGCG